UACGAGGGCCCCAAGCGUUAUCCGGAUUUAUUGGGCGUAAAGAGUUUGUAGGUGGUUUGUCACAUCUCCUGUUAAAUCUGCGGGCUUAACCCGUAGGCCGCGGGAGAGAUGGGCAGACUAGAGACCGGAAGAGGUAAGCGGAAUUGCUGGUGUAGGGGUUAAAUCCGUUAAUAUCAGCAGGAACACCAAAUGCGAAGGCAGCUUACUAGGACGGUUCUGACACUGAGAAACGAAAGCGUGGGGAGCGAAUGGG
rnacentral:rRNA from 1 species